UCCUCUGUAGUUCAGUCGGUAGAACGGCGGACUGUUAAUCCGUAUGUCACUGGUUCGAGUCCGGUCAGAGGAGCCA
rnacentral:tRNA from 4 species